UGCAUGUCUAAGUAUAAUAUGAUACUGUGAAACUGCGAAUGGCUCAUUAAAACAGUUAUAGUUUAUUUGACGAACUUCUAAAUGGAUAACCGUAGUAAGACCAGAGCUAAUACAUGCCCCAGAGGCCGUCAAAAGCCUGCAUUUAUUAGAUAAAGCCAAUGUUGGUGAAUCAUAAUAACUGAUUGAAUCGCUCGGCUCGUGCCGCGAUGCGUCAUUCAAGUUUCUGCCCUAUCAGCUUUCGAUGGUAGUGUAUUGGACUACCAUGGCGUUAACGGGUAACGGAGAAUUAGGGUUCGAUUCCGGAGAGGGAGCCUGACAAAUGGCUACCACAUCUAACGAAGGCAGCAAGCGCGCAAAUUACCCAAUCCUGACACAGGGAGGCAGCGACAAGAUAUAACAACGUAGGCACUACGUGCAUGCGGUUGUAAUGAACUGGGCGCAAACACCCCAGCGGAAUUCCAUUGGAGGGCAAGUCUGGU
rnacentral:rRNA from 1 species